rnacentral:rRNA from 1 species
GACGAACGCUGGCGGCGUGCCUAAUGCAUGCAAGUUGAGCGAUGAAGAUUGGUGCUUGCACCAAUUUGAAGAGCAGCGAACGGGUGAGUAACGCGUGGGGAAUCUGCCUUUGAGCGGGGGACAACAUUUGGAAACGAAUGCUAAUACCGCAUAACAACUUUAAACAUAAGUUUUAAGUUUGAAAGAUGCAAUUGCACCACUCAAAGAUGAUCCCGCGUUGUAUUAGCUAGUUGGUGAGGUAAAGGCUCACCAAGGCGAUGAUACAUAGCCGACCUGAGAGGGUGGUCGGCCCCCAUGGGACCUAGAACCGGCCCAAACUUCUUACGGGAGGCACAAUAGGGAAAUCUUCGCCAUAGGAGGAAGUCUGACCGAGCAACGCCGCGUGGGUGAAGAAGGUUUUCGGAUCGUAAAACUCUGUUGGUAGAGAAGAACGUUGGUGAGAGUGGAAAGCUCAUCAAGUGACGGUAACUACCCAGAAAGGGACGGCUAACUACGUG